rnacentral:rRNA from 1 species
UACAGAGGUCUCAAGCGUUUGUUCGGAUUCAUUGGGCGUAAAGGGUGCGUAGGCGGCGCGGUAAGUCGGGUGUGAAAUCUCGGAGCUUAACUCCGAAACUGCAUUCGAUACUGCCGUGCUUGAGGACUGGAGAGGAGACUGGAAUUUACGGUGUAGCGGUGAAAUGCGUAGAUAUCGUAAGGAAGACCAGUGGCGAAGGCGGGUCUCUGGGCCGAUACUGACGCUGAGGAGCGAAAGCGUGGGGGAGCGAACAGG